AAUACACGUUAUAAUAUUGAUAAUACAAAGGAGUUUCAAAACUCCAAACAUUAUGUAACAUUCACUCGCAAAGUUCCUUGAAGCUUGCACGAAGAAGUUUAACUCCAAUGGCAGGAACAAAAUCCCCAACCCCAACACAGACCUAGAACGUAUGUCAAGCAAUCCCUUCCAUACACCUUUUCAAUUACUUUCUUUUAUAAAGGAAUUGGCAGCUUCUGAUAUCGCGGUGAACACACUGAUGGACGUGGGGGUCGUUAUUUUUUCCUGGCUGGUACGACGUCUUUUCUGAGGCACAUAGAUUUUUCCUUGCAUUCACGAGUUCAUGGAGUAGAACAGCCUUGCUGAGACAGGCGGGUUCAACUUCUUGGUCAGCGAUCACCUCCGGCCUUCUCCGGCGACUACUACGAUUACACCUCUCCGGAUGGUGGAACUUCAUCGGUAGUAUCUAAGGACAUUGUCUCUGACUAAAAAUAGCAUGAAGCAUAUCAAUGAAAGACCCUUUUCACUUAGGACAGUCGAUUUCCAACAUCAGCAAGAUGGAUAAGGCAUCAAUCAUAAAAGAUGGAACUAGUUAGAUAGAACACUUGAAUGAAAAACGGAGAAGGAUCCAACAUGAGAUAAUGGAGGUUAAAUCUAACAAGCUCAGCAAUCCAAUUAUUGCAGUGUCUGCAGCAGUAGGGGACUAUGAUUUUAAACAGGAUCUUCCCAUUGUUAUCAGAUCUAACAAGAAGAGACCCGAUAACCUUUUCUUUGAUACCUCGGCUACUUCUUCCUCAAUAAAUAACACCAACUAUUUCCCUAUUGAACUGAUUGAUCUUUAUGCACGAUUGGGUUCUUUUUGGCAAGAAUGCAAGGACAAAACCUGAGGAUUCAUGUUCCACCAUAGCUUUAAUGGCAACUGUCAGACUAUUGAAAAGGUGAUAUUUUUGUUGUGCCAUGUCUAUUGGGAUCUCUAAAUAUUCAGUAAUUUGAAUUAUUCUAAAAUAAUAUGUUGCAUUGAGGAAGGAGUGCCUAUGGUAUUUUUUGUUGUGCUUACUGUGAUAUUGAAUAUACAAGGCUUGAUUUAAUCUCCAAUCAUGGAAUUUCUUUUCUUCCUUUCCUGAUUGCGACUUUUAGGUCAAUUUCAUGGCUCUUUCGUGUUUGAUUGUCAUUGUUUUAACCACAUGCUUUAGAAAUCCAUUCAUAUUAUCUAUAUCAUUUUGAAAUUAGAAAUUGAUUUGAAUUUUAUUUUAUUUCACGUGAUUUAUAUGUUCACUUCUACAUUUAGUUAUACUAUUCUUCUUUUUUCUAAUAAAUGCUGGGUUUUUAUGCUAUUUAAAAUAGUCUUUCAAUUGUGUGUUCAUUAACUUUGUGCUAAAGGAAUUUUUCUAUUGUUGCUCCUGUCGGAAAGUACUUUCCUACCCUCUUCUCUGUUUUACUAAUUUGGCAUGCUUGGAAAAUUUUACAAAUUAGUGGGUUAGUUGAAAACUUGAAAUUUGGGGCUUGAAAGGUGAAACCUCCUAUAUUCAUUUUUUCUUUAUUGGUCAACAAUUUAUUAGCUAAACUAUUCUGUUUUGAACUUGGAAUUACAACAGAUAUGUUUAUGAUAAUGAUAAUGCUAUAAUGUAAUUGAUUGAUUAUUAUUGUUUUGUGUGUGAAUCAUGGAAGAAAUUGUUGGAUGUCCACCAAUCCAUACAUUCAGCGAUAACUCAAUUGCAACUCAGCCUCCUCGAAAGAAUGAACCUGAUGCAAGAGUAUUUUGUAUAAAUAAUUUUUUUUAUUCUGUUGUUUUUUGUAAAACUGUGUGCUAGAGUCAAAACCACUCACUAUAGGAGUUUCUGCAUCUGACACUAUGAUGGUUCUUCUAUCACAU